GAGAAUUUGCUGCUAUAGCUGCCGCGAUGUCGGACAGCUUGAAUAAGUGGAAAAUAUUUCAGGUUCUUAGCGACCAACUGAAGCGGAAUAUCAGGCUUGCGGUCGUAUUUGAAGGAAGCGCAAUUUACGUGACGAAAGAUGAUGAAGUUUUCGGCUUUGGGGAAAACAAAACAGGAUUUCUUGGUACUGGCGACGAGGAACCACGCACAGAGCACACCAAAAUUGAACAAUUGUGCGGACAAAACAUUCAAGGGUUGCAGUUCUUUAAAUUAAAAGCUGUUUGCCUGAGGAAAAUUGCUCGCAAUUGAUGUAGAAAAUAGAGAGAUAUCAAAUCCGGAGCGCGCAAGCAGUGGUAUCACACAGGACACAGGGCGCAUCAGAGUUUGACCAAGGGGAAGGAAAUUUAAAACAUUUCUAUUAGAUUUUUCUUGUCUAAUUUUAAAAGAAAUCGGAUGAUUUUUCUGCGGCGUCAUAUCCGUAAACUACAUAAAUUUUGGAAAUUCAGUUCCGAUUAUUGAUUAUUGUUUAAAAUUAUAGUAAUAUACUGUAUGUAGCGAAUUUUGACUCAAUAAUGAAGCUGUACAUAUGUAGCAUUUAUUUAAGGAAUUCUUCCAACAAAUGCUACAUACAAAAAAUCGUGAAAGAAUCUUCAAAGAACUAAAAUUCUUAGGCGCCCUUUAACCAUGGUUCCUUUCGCGCCUGCUAACAAUGAGAAAAAUAAAUUGAGCAAUCUCAUUGGUCCU